rnacentral:rRNA from 1 species
AGUGAACGCUGGCGGUAGGCCUAACUCAUGCAAGUCGAACGGCAGCACAGUAAGAGCUUGCUCUUACGGGUGGCGAGUGGCGGACGGGUGAGGAAUACAUCGGAAUCUACUUUUUCGUGGGGGAUAACGUAGGGAAACUUACGCUAAUACCGCAUACGACCUACCGGUGAAAGCAGGGGAUCUUCGGACCUUGCGCGAUUGAAUGAGCCGAUGUCGGAUUAGCUAGUUGGCGUGGUAAAGGCCCACCAAGGCGACGAUCCGUAGCUGGUCUGAGAGGAUGAUCAGCCACACUGGAACUGAGACACGGUCCAGACUCCUACGGGAGGCAGCAGUGGGGAAUAUUGGACAAUGGGCGCAAGCCUGAUCCAGCCAUACCGCGUGGGUGAAGAAGGCCUUCGGGUUGUAAAGCCCUUUUGUUGGGAAAGAAAAGCAGCAGGUUAAUACCCCGCUGUUCUGACGGUACCCAAAGAAUAAGCACCGGCUAACUUCGUG